ensembl:ncRNA C24A8.11 ncRNA
AAAGUUAUUUAUACAUACUUCAAAGAAGCUGUACUUCGUAGCAUAAUUUGGCAUGAUCGUGGGAAAC